GGCUCAGAUUAAACGCUGGCGGCAUGCCUUACACAUGCGAAGUCGAACGGCAGCGACGGGGGCGAACCCUGGUGGCGAGUGGCGAACGGGUGAGUAAAGCAUCGGAACGUGCCUGGAGUGGGGGAGUAACGUAGCGAAAGUUACGCUAAUACCGCAUAUUCUGUGAGCAGGAAAGCAGGGGAUCGCAAGACCUUGCGCUCUGGGAGCGGCCGAUGUCGGAUUAGCUAGUUGGUGGGGUAAAGGCCUACCAAGGCGACGAUCCGUAGCGGGUCUGAGAGGAUGAUCCGCCACACUGGGACUGAGACACGGCCCAGACUCCUACGGGAGGCAGCAGUGGGGAAUUUUGGACAAUGGGCGAAAGCCUGAUCCAGCCAUGCCGCGUGAGUGAAGAAGGCCUUCGGGUUGUAAAGCUCUUUCGGUGGGGAAGAAAUUGCAUAGGCUAAUACCCUGUGUAGAUGACGGUACCUGGAGAAGAAGCACCGGCUAACUACGUG
rnacentral:rRNA from 1 species